rnacentral:rRNA from 1 species
UACGUAGGGUGCGAGCGUUAAUCGGAAUUACUGGGCGUAAAGCGUGCGCAGGCGGUUCGUUGUGUCGGCGGUGAAAGCCCCGGGCUCAACCUGGGAAUGGCCGUUGAAACUGGCGAACUGGAGUGUGGCAGAGGGGGGUGGAAUUCCGCGUGUAGCAGUGAAAUGCGUAGAGAUGCGGAGGAACACCGAUGGCCGAAGGCAGCCCCCUGGGCUGACACUGACGCUCAGGCACGAAAGCGUGGGGAGCAAACAGG